rnacentral:lncRNA from 1 species
AGGAAGAUGAGUAGAUGACAAUAUUGUAAGCAUUGCAUCUCAUGAGUGUCACACCCGGGUUUUAGGGCACCAAGACCCGGGCGCGAACAUAAUCACCAGGUGUGCUGGGACCAAGUCUCACACAUAUGAUGAAUCAUGGCACAGGAUCGAAUGUCACAUCUUUACUAUAUAAUAGGAGUUCUAUACAAAAUAAAUAAAUAAUUACAUUAUAAGGAGACAACGGUCCAGCAACCCAAAGUUGACUGGGAGACGACGGCCUAGACCUCUCACGAACUCGACACAGCAUCCUCCAAGCGCCUCAUCCUGCGGUACCUGUUCUUGACCUGUGGGGGGGUGUGAGACAGCAAGAGUGAGCUCACAUACGUUCAUCGCUCAACAAGUUGUGGGGAAUAAUGUGCAUGAACUCGCCAAAGGUGGGAGCUCAUGUGAAGUGUAAGGCUUACCAAAGAGGAUGGUUAGAGCUGAGCAUUGCUUUUAAAGUUGGUCAAAAUUUUAGUAGCAAUUACUAAGUAUAAGUAAAUACCAACCCAAUUAAGUAGUAGAACAAAAGUAACAACAUCACCUGCGAUGCAAUGCAUAUGACAAAUUGAAUUUAGUUCCAUAAAUUAAUCAUGUGAGUGUCCGAGCUGCUCAUGACCGUGAGCACGGCUAGUAUACCAGUUUUACACUCUGCAGAGGUUGCGCAUCUUUACCCACAAGUCAUGUUACCCAUCUGCCAAGGGAUCGCGACUUCCCAUACACCUCUACCGAGGAGGCGAGGCAGGGUAACACUACGAGGCCUUUACAAAGUUCCACUAGCUUCAGAAAACCCGCUACAGUUUAUAGGAAGCUCCAAUGCAGGAAUCCCUUGCAGGACCGCCAUCGCAGCAAAAUCCUCCCGAGGGCCUCCCUACACUGACCACUCCCCUACUGCCCUUGCCCCUUUCGGGUAAGGUAGUCUUCCACUAGCUUUCCUAAUUAAUCGGCCAAGGGCGUCCCAUUAAACCCUUGUGGUAGCACUGUUUUCCCGGGUGGUUCUCCAUGUUCCAAUUAACAUAAUGAUCUUAUCAUGAACAGUAAAUAGCAACUGAUAACAAAAGUAUGAAUAAUAUGUAUCUCAAUGCCCAAAUCCACAUAUAGCACUAGCAAGUACUACCCAGAAAGUUUAGUGGUAAACAAGGCAUAAAGAUAGACAAACUAGGGUAACCUAUUAGGUCCCAUCAAAUUAACCUAUGCAGAUCAUUAUGAUUAAUUAGAACAUGAGUGGGUAAAAGAAGUGAUCAAGGGCACAACUUGCCUGGCACUUGAGAUUCCAGGUACCAACUUGCUCAUCAGGUGACUCGUGACCUCACGCUAGUCGUAGCAAUACAAACAAACAGUGUAUAGGAAAAAUUAACAUCACACCAAACAUAUAUGCAAAAUACAUAUUGAUGAUCUACAUAUUAAAAUAAAAUCACAGGAACAAGAAUUAUUAAUUUUGAAGUUAUAGAUUUUAAGUUAUGGACUUCCAAAAGUUCUAGGUGCUAGGUACAAGAUUAAUUAGGAGAUUAAUUUUAAUAUGACUUUCAUGUCAAAACAGUGAAAUAAAAUGAUAAACAAUAAUAUUACAAAAUUAAUGUCACUGAAAUGGAUCAAUUCGGAAUUAGAAUGGAUUUUCUAUGAAUUAAAUAAGUUUCUAAAAUUAUUUUAACACUAAAAUCAUUUUCUAAUUGAAUUUAUUUGGUUUCCUACUCCUCUGUACUGCGCGCAUCAAUCCAGAGAACUGUAGGGUGCCAUCUGUAAAUUCUUGGGCCAUCAUGCAAUUACUUUAGAACUGACUAGGAUCGCGGGUUGAUUAGCCAAUUGUUCAGGGUCUCUUUUACAAACUCACAAGCUCCGAAGGGGUAUGGGGUCACAAGAGCCGUCUGAUCACCAUCGAACCACCCUGAUCAGACCCCGAGGGUUUAUGAAGCUGUACGCAAUCAAGGUCGUUGGAUCAACGACCAGGCGCCUGGAUUUUAAGUCCUUAGGUCGAUUAUCACGCGCCGGAUCCACAUCGGACGACCGAGAAGAGUUCAGGCCAAACCAGAAUCCGGGAUCAAAUCCCAGCCCUUCAUCUGGGAUUGACGGCCCAUAUUCCACCCCCAUCGCCCAAGCCUGGUAACGGUGCCGCUGCCUGAGGCCACGGCGAGGCAUCGCCGGUGAGCCUACUGGAUGGCAGUCCUGUGCUCUAGAUCCCAAUCCGGGGAGCGCUACACGGAGACGAGAUCCCAACAACAGAUAUAGGUUCACGUACCAAUGGUGAGGAUGCUGAUAUUCUCCGACCACGGCGCUAGUGGUUCCGCGGCAUCUGGCUUUCUCUCUCCAUCUCUCAGUUUGAUCUCUCCGCUGCUUGCUCGGAGGCCUCACGAGUCUCGACGAUGGCCGAGGGAGUCACAACCCGCGUAUAUUUAUACGCCCAGAACUAAAGGAGAUAGGAUCGGCU